AUUGAACGCUGGCGGCAGGCCUAACACAUGCAAGUCGAGCGGAGCGGCGGACGGGUGAGUAAGGCCUAGGAAUCUGUCUGGUAGUGGGGGAUAACGUACGGAAACGGGAGCUAAUACCGCAUACUAUAAGAGGAGACUAGGUCGGCAUAGCUAGUUGGUGGGGUAAAGGCAUACCAAGGCGACGAUCCGUAACUGGUCUGAGAGGAUGAUCAGUCAGACUGGAACUCAGACACGGUCCAGACUCCUACGGGAGGCAGCAGUGGGGAAGAUUGGACAAUGGGCGAAAGCCUGAUCCAGCCAUGCCGCGUGUGUGAAGAAGGUCUUCGGAUUGUAAAGCACUUUAAGUUGGGAGGCGUUACCAACAGAAUAAGCACCGGCUAACUUCGUGCCAGCAGCCGCGGUAAUUC
rnacentral:rRNA from 1 species